CAGCCGCCGCGGGAAUACGAAGGGGGCUAGCGUUGCUCGGAAUGACUGGGCGUAAAGGGCGCGUAGGCGGUUCGUACAGUCGGAUGUGAAAUUCCUGGGCUUAACCUGGGGGCUGCAUUCGAUACGUGCGGGCUUGAGUGUGGAAGAGGGUUGUGGAAUUCCCAGUGUAGAGGUGAAAUUCGUAGAUAUUGGGAAGAACACCGGUGGCGAAGGCGGCAACCUGGUCCAUGACUGACGCUGAGGCGCGAAAGCGUGGGGAGCAAACAGGAUUAGAGACCCCGGUAGUCCCUGUCUCUUAUAC
rnacentral:rRNA from 1 species